CAUGCCUCGGGCGACGGUUCCUCCGCCAACUCCGCCAGGACCGGAAGGUAGCAACGGUAACGGGGGGCCGGGUGCCCGGGGCACUUUU
rnacentral:SRP_RNA from 1 species